GACGAACGCUGGCGGCGUGCUUAACACAUGCAAGUCGAACGGAAAGGCCCUGCUUUUGUGGGGUGCUCGAUUGGCGAACGGGUGUGUAACACGUGAGUAACCUGCCCUUGACUUUGUGAUAUCUUCUGGUAACUUGGGCUAAUACCGGAUAUGAUCUCCUGCUGCAUGGUGUUGGUUGGUAAGUUUCGGCGGUUGGGGAUGGACUCGCGGCUUAUCAGCUUGUUUGUGGGGUAGUUGCUUACCAAGGCUUUGACGGGUAGCCGGCAUGAGAGGGUGAACAGGGAAAAUGGGACGGAGAGAGGGACCAGACUGGAACGGGAGGCAGCAGUGGGGAAUAUUGCACAAUGGGAGGAAGCCUGAUGCAGAAACGCGGCGUGCGGGAAGACGGGAUACGGGUUGAAAAAAGAAGUGGCAUGAGACGAAGAGUGAGUGACGGUAAUGGGUAAAGAAGCACCGGCUAACUACGUG
rnacentral:rRNA from 1 species